GACGCAGGGGGGGCCCGCGCCGUGAAGCAGGGAGGGGCCGCGCCGCCUUCGAGAGUCAUUGGAGGACGAGGCCUCUCGAAGCUGAUAAAUAAGGGGCCGGGCCGCGGCUGCCGGCCAAGUUGGACGCCGCAACCGGUGCGAGGGCCAGGUCAGCGCCGGCCCGACGACGCGAAGCGAGGCGACCCCCGUGCGGCCAUGGCCUCGCUGCUAGGAACUUACCCGUGGCCCGAGGGCCUCGAGUGCCCUGCCCUGGAAGCCGAGCUGUCGGACGGGCUGUCGCCGCCGGCCGCCCCCCGCCCGCCGGGGGACAAGGGCUCGGAGAGCCGUAUCCGGCGGCCCAUGAACGCCUUCAUGGUGUGGGCCAAGGACGAGAGGAAACGUCUGGCGGUGCAGAACCCGGACCUGCACAACGCCGAGCUCAGCAAGAUGCUGGGAAAGUCGUGGAAGGCGCUGACGCUGUCCCAGAAGAGGCCCUACGUGGACGAGGCGGAGCGGCUGCGGCUGCAGCACAUGCAGGACUACCCCAACUACAAGUACCGGCCGCGCAGGAAGAAGCAGGCCAAGCGCCUGUGCAAGCGCGUGGACCCCGGCUUCCUGCUCAGCUCGCUCUCCCGCGACCAGAACUCCCUGCCCGAGAAGCGGGGCGGCGGCCGAGGGGCGCCGGGGGAGAAGGAGGACCGGGGUGAGUACUCUCCGGGCUCUGCGCUGCCCGGCCUGCGGGGCUGCUUCCACGACGGCCCGGCCGGCGGCAGCGGCGGCGGCGGCACCCCGGGCAGCGUGGACGCGUACCCCUACGGGCUGCCCACCCCGCCGGAGAUGUCACCCUUGGACGUGCUGGAGCCGGAGCAGACCUUCUUCUCCUCCGCAUGCCAGGAGGACCACGCGCACUCCCGCCGCAUCGCCCACCUGCCCGGGCCCCCCUACUCCCCGGAGUACGCCCCCAACCCCCUCCACUGCGGCCACCCCCUGGGCUCCCUGGCCCUCGGUCAGUCCUCGGGCGUCUCUAUGAUGUCCACCGUGCCUGGCUGCCCCCCGUCUCCGGCCUACUACUCCCAGGCCGCCUACCCGCCUCUCCACUCCAACCUGCACGCCCACCUGGGCCAGCUCUCCCCGCCUCCCGAGCAUCCCGGCUUCGACGCCCUGGAUCAGCUGAGCCAGGUGGAACUCCUGGGGGACAUGGAUCGCAAUGAGUUCGACCAGUACUUGAACACUCCGGGCCACCCAGACUCUGGGGCCCUCAGCGGGCAGGGCGCGGUCUCUCAGGUGACACCGACGGGCCCCACAGAAACCAGCCUCAUUUCCGUGCUGGCUGACGCCACGGCCACGUACUACAACAGCUACAGCGUGUCAUAGAGCCCGGCGGCCCGUCCGGCCCGGCCUCGCGCCGCCGGCCCUUCCCGCGCCGAGCGCAGCGCCCCGGGGAGGGCGCGCACGUCCACGAGCCGCGCGCCGGCCGGCUCCGCGGCUCCGGGGUCCCUCCCCCGCCCCUUCCCCGCCGCCCCGCCCCGCCGCGCCGGCGUUCUGAGUAUAUUCCUUCAAAAGAGUUUCCAUUGGCUCCACCCUGGGAAUCAGGCGCGGUCGUUGCUGAGGACGCUAUUUCCCGGUAGAGUUUUCACUGACCUCUCCUCCCAGUCUUCAAUCCGGAAACAAAGUCGGGAAAAGCCCAGCAGCAUUCGCAUCCCUGCCGCUUCUGACACAGCCGCAGGGCUCCUGCCGUCCUGACCUUUGGUCUUCCAGGUGAGGAGAGCCCUGGGCUAAGAUUCGGGGGACUGGCGGGCCAAUCCCCGUUCUGUCUCCAGGGGCUGGGGAGACCUGACUCCCCUCGCCUCCCCCUCCAGCCCAUCCCCCCAUCUGCGGAGUGAGGGGCAGAGUCCGUAUCUUAGGUACCCUCCGCUCCAGGGUUUUCCGAUUUAGGAUUCUCUCCAAAGGAAGCUGAAGCUGGCCUCCGUGAACUCAUUCAUGUGCAACCUGGUGAGGAUUCCGCGCACUGCCCAAGGCCCAAGGACGCCAGGCUGCUGCACUUGGUCACCAUCUUCCAGUAUAAAUGGUCCUAGUCUUCCGAAAGGACCCUUUAAGAGUUUGAGAAAAAAAACACUCAUCGUGAUCUGGGGAAUUAACGCCGGGGUUAACUGCAUCACUGACAACGAAACUGAAUUCAAGCUGCUUUUUUUAAAAACAUACCUUUUUUUUUUUUUUUAAAGACAAGUUCUUUGAUAGCUCAGUUGGUAAAGAAUCUGCCUGCAAUGCAGGAGACCCUGGUUUGAUUUCUGGGUCAGGAAGAUCUGCUGGAGAAGGGAUAGACUACCCACUCCAGUGUUUUUGGACAGUUGGUAAAGAAUCCACCUGCAACGUGGGAGACCUGGGUUGAUCCUCAGGUUGGGAAGAUACCCUGGAGAAGGGAAAGGCUACCCACUCCAGUUUCUGGCCUGGAGAAUUUCAUGGACUGUAUAGUCCAUGGGGUCGCAAAGAGUCAGACAGGACUGAGUGACUUUCACUUUCUUUUCACUUUCAUACAUUUCAAGAGAAAAUACAUGCCUGAAUAUUUACAGUGUGCACACGCAACAUACACACCUUCACGCUCAGCCUGAAUCAGAUGCCGGUUGCUGACCUUGGCAACUUCUUGUCAGCCUUCCGUUCCUAAUGACCCAAAGAGCAGGGAGCUGGAAAGAGUUUCAGCACCAUAGCAUCAGUUUCUUUCAAUCUGAAUGUGCUGAUUUCUUAAGCAAAAUUUCACCAUGCUCUACCUUCUGCAGAUGCAAAAAGAUCUUCCUUUGCUCUGUUCCCAUCUUCCUUUCCUGGACUUUCCUUUUUCUCUUCGUUUCUGUUCUUUCUCCACCCCUGAAUUGGCCACUGAUUCAAAGAUCCCUUGACUUAAAAAUUCCAGGCGUGAUUCCUAUGGCAGAAAUGAGAUUUUGUUCUCCUCACCAGCCCUCUGGUUCUUCAGGUAACAUCUUCGGCCAACACAUCAAAGAAACUUCCCUUUAUUAUACUUACUUCCCAAAGAAUAGAAAUGCACUGUGAUUCAGAAAAUAUUUCUGAGCCCUGACCCCAUCCCAAAAACAUUUCCAUCCUUCCUCCAAGUCUCCACUGAAGGAACAUACCUAUCAGACAUAAAAGACAGUUGUCUUAUGAUUUCAGCAUUUUAUUGCCUGUAUGAAAUAUGUAAGUGUUUUUAUAUAUUCUCCUAUUAUUUUCACCUUAUAUUUUGUAUUGUUGAAACUCCUUUUUUUUUUCCUUCCAAGGAAUUCUCUUGUAAAAUCACUUAUAAGAUAUGAUUAAUCUUUAUGCUAUUACUGUAUGUGACUUUUGGUAAUAAAUAAUAAACCAUGGACAAUAUG